UACGAAGGGGGCUAGCGUUGUUCGGAAUUACUGGGCGUAAAGCGCACGUAGGCGGAUACUUAAGUUAGGGGUGAAAUCCCGGGGCUCAACCCCGGAACUGCCUUUAAUACUGGGUAUCUCGAGUUCGAGAGAGGUGAGUGGAAUUCCGAGUGUAGAGGUGAAGUUCGUAGAUAUUCGGAGGAACACCAGUGGCGAAGGCGGCUCACUGGCUCGAUACUGACGCUGAGGUGCGAAAGCGUGGGGAGCAAACAGG
rnacentral:rRNA from 1 species